rnacentral:lncRNA from 1 species
AGUAUUAAGAAAAGGGAUUUCCCGAGGAUCUAAAACCGCAAUCCCUUUUGGGGGCCAAAUACCUCCUAUCUCUACCGUAGGUGCCAAAGAAGAAUGAGAAGAAGCCCGAAAAAGAGCAAAAAGGAACAUAACCUCCGAAACGAUAAACAGAAUAAACCCAUAUCGAGGUCCUAAUUGUACGACUUUGGUAUGAUGUCCUUCCAACGUGGAUUCACGUAGAACAUCGCGCCACCAUACGAACAUGGUAUAUAGGAUAAAGAUUAGGCCCAAACUGAGAAGUGUUGCACCCCCUUGAAAUGAAUGCAUGUACAUCACACCUCCUACGGUGGUUGCCAAAGCUCCGAGUGAACCCGAAAUAGGCCAUGGACUUGGAUCUACCAAAUGAUAAGAGUGCCUCUGAGAUUCAAUCAUAAACAACUUUGCCUCGGUUGCAUGUAAACCCCCAUUCACCCCCGCCGCCUAAAGUGGUAAAGAAGGCUCUUUGGGGUCUCUCUUUCUAUUUGACAGGACAAACAAAUAGGAAGGGAUGGUUCUUUCAUUGCAAGAAGUCUAACUAGAAAAGGAUAUCCCUAUUACUUUGAGAAGAGAAUUGUUGGUUUGACCGACGAACUACAUGGGAAAAUGGAUCUUCUUUCUUUUUAGAAAACAUUUUUUGAAAGUAACAAUUCCAUUCAGUUCGGUUUCGGAAAACUUUCCGCCGGGGCCUAACAUCAAAGGCGCAGGUUGAUCUCUAUGGUUGAGGCUGCAAUUCAUUUUUACACGUGGGAAGGGCUUACUCUACUAGAGGCUCGGCUUGGUCUCGCUCCCUUCCCGUACUAUUCCUCCCCACUAAAAAAAGAGCGAUUGAGAAUCUCGAGAACCUUUCUGAACGUCUGUCUUCGCGGGGCGAUUUGAAGAGGAGAAGGUAGUCUUAGUGGGCUUUUGUGGAGCGUGAAAAAUUGUUGGAAUUCUAUGAAAGAGUCUCGGGAGCCAGGAUGCAUGCCAGUUUCAUACGACCAGGUGGAGUGGCACAAGAUCUGCCUCUUGGCUUAUGUCGAGAUAUUGAUUCCUCCACACAACAAUUUGGUUCUCGUAUCGACGAAUUAGAAGAGAUGUCAACCGGCAACCGUAUCUAGAAACAACGAUUAGUGGAUAUUGGUACUGUCACUCCACGCAAGCAAAGGAUUGGGGAUUCAGUGGUGUAAUGUUAAGAGGUCGUGCGACAUGAAGACAUUGAUAGCAAUAUGGGGGAAGUUACCAUCAGGCAACAACGGUUCUGCCUAACCCUACUUAAGCAUGCAUAUUAUGUUAGUGAAGACUUGGUGUGAAGCCUUGGAGCUUACGUUAGAAGAGCAAAAGGCCGGGGGCUAGGGUGAACUGAGGGGGACAGCGUAAGUGAGUGAAUGUGUGUAAGCGCAGUCAAACAUAACUGUUCUAAGAGGGGUGGGCCACCCACCUUCGAAUGGUGUUGGUCCUACAGACUGUGAACGGAUUCGCCUCUGGCCUAUGGGCACGUCGGAACCGCAUGAGUUCACCGGGGUGGAGCACGGUCCGCCAAAAUCGGCAUAGGUUAGGUGCUAUUGAUGGAACAUGGUAAGCCUAUCUUUCUCCAUAUGGAAGUGUUGCGGGCACAUAGAGAUGUGGGUAGAGGAAGCCUCAAAAAGCAAAGGCCGAGCUGUAGGUCACGUGACCUGCACCGAGUUGGUGGCUGACUGGGCUUUUGAUUUGAUCAAAGCAGAGAAGCUCGCCUUCUUGUUAUCCAAAAACAUAAGUAGGUCGAAUCGGUCGGGCCCCUGCCCCGGAACGCCGAAUGAAAUAGGUGGUCGGGUUCUUUUUCUACGACCCUUUUUGUAUGGUAGGCGUAGCCCCAGGACCCCUAUCCCUUUAGGAGCGGGAUCCGCCCAAGAACGACCUUUCGGUGGUACGGAAGGCACGGACUCCGCGAACGUCCCUAGCCCCUUUACUAAUAAGGAAAAGAAAGCCUCAACCAGAACCACAUUCCUUUUGCGUGCAGAUGUAGCUAAGUGUCUGACUCUAUUGAUCAUAGUUUCCUACUGUUGCGGCCGGUGCUCGUUUGCGUACACGUGAACCAACCCAACAAACAAGGAAAAGAUGCCUCUCGGGGCAUCUGAGAAUGAUUCGAGCCGUAUGAAGGGAAACUCUCACGUACAGUUUCUUUUUUUGGGGGGGAAGGAGCCCGACAGGGUCCCCCCACUGACUUGGCCCGGGCCUAAGUGAAAGUGAAGUGGUGGGCCUACCCAUCCCAACCAGGGGUGUGCUAGGAUUCACAAAGAGCAGCACCUUACGAUGUUCAUGACCAAUCGAAUCCUGACGUACCAGUAAGUACCAGAGGAUAUCGCUAUGAUCGUUACUGUAGUCGUAUCGAAGAGAUGCGACAAAGUGUUCGGAUCAUUGUGUAAUGUCCUAAUCAAAUGCCUAGUGGAAUGAUCAAAGCCGAUGAUCAUAAGCUAUGUCCUCCAUCACGAUCUCGAAUGAAACUAUCCAUGGAAUUGUGUGCCGCGUGAAACAUAGGUCGCAAACCGAAGAAGGUAGUCUCAGUGGACUUUUGAGGAGCGGGAAAAAUUGUUGGAAUUCUAUGAAAGAGUCUCGGGAGCCAGGAUGCAUGCCAGUUUCAUACGAUAAUCAAAAGGUACAACGGCCCGAGCGACCAGACUUAACAUAAAUCUAGCCACUGGAGCCAUUCUAAAAAGGGAGAAAUUUACACUACUUGGUGAAAUAGGUUCUUUUAUAAUCAAUUUAAAACCAUCUGCUAGAGGUUGUAACAAUCCAAAUGAUCCCACUACAUCAGGACCCUUUCGACGUUGCACAAAAGCCAUUACUUUACGUUCAGCUAGCACUAAAAACGCUACUCCUAGUAGAAGUGGUAGAAUUAUUCCAAGUAUUUCGGCUAGAACUGCUAUGUAAAUUUUCUAUUUUCUAUUCACUUAUGAUCUGUCCUAGUCGACCCGAUCAUGAUAUUUCACUCAGGAUCUGGCUUAGUCGACCCAAUCAUGAUUUUGAAGGAUGAGACCUUUCUCGAAAAAGAAAGGAGAUUUUAUUUCUUCUUCCAAGCCCUUCUUAGAAGAUGCAGUCAGUAAGCUCUCACUUAUCUUCUUCAUUUACGAAAAUAGAUAGAUAAGAAAAGAUGUCAGCCUCCUUUUCUCGCNUAGAUAGAUAAGAAAAGAUGUCAGCCUCUCUUUUCUCGCGGAACACUCACUUAAUGGGGCUAUUUGAAUUGGAAGACAACGAAAAAAGUGAAAGAAGGAGGUCUAUUUCGUUGAUCGAUGUCAAUGGACCAAGAAAUCUGUCCUUUGCUGAAAGCUCAUAGGGUAAGAAAAAUGGAAAGGUAGGUUUUGUCAGUGAUUAAAUGGGAAGGUCAGCUGGAGUGAAAACCAAUCAAACUCAGAAAGAUAGGUAGAUCGAGCGCGCUGAGGAAAUUCGAGAUAUCCGGAGACAUGGCCACUACUGGCCUACGGUCCUUGCAGAUUACAUAGCACAUGCUAAGAGCUGUGAUGCCUGCUAGAGGUAUGCAGGAAUCCAGCACAAGUCAGAUUUCGAGUUAUACACGAUUAUAAAGCCUUGGCCAUUUCGAGGGUGGGCCAUGGAUAUCAUCGGAAAGAUCUAUCCCAGAUCUUAAAGAGGUCAUACUUUUAUCCUAGUAUAGUAGCUACGGCCCAGCCUUCUCCACCUUAUGCACUGGGUAGAAGCCGAGCCUCCCCAGAAUGUGACUUCUACGGAGGUAAUAAGGGUCUGGUAUAUAUUACUUCUAUUCGUCCGCUUAUGCAGUUCAUGUAGUGAUUUAAUUUGUGUCUGCUUCUACUAGUCCCCGUCGCGACGUUAGGAGACAUACAUUGGGUAAUUCCAAGACCACACAGGCCAUAGGUAACGGCUCUUAUGCCUUGCCAGCAGAAAGAAAUCCAGAGACCAUCCUCCCUAUCGCCCACCCAAUGCUUACUAUCGAGAUUGGUUCGCCGGCCUUUACUCCCAUUCCGAAGUUUCCAAAUUAGCUUUAGAGAUUGAGCAAGUGUAAAAAGUCUAGAGUGAUCUGGUUUGCGCGGCUUUCGGGUUAUGUCUACUAGAAUAACAACCCGUAGUCUAGUUGAAACCCUCUUUUACAAGAUUACAGACUAAAAGGACUCGCUUUCUUUCUGAAUCCGCUUUCUCUAUUGACAUAUAAUAGUCUCGACUUGAGCCCUUCCUCGAAAUAAAACGGCGAAGGAACGCCUUCUCUCUCGUGCUAUGGCUUUGCUUGAGACUCCCUUUCUUCUUAGGUUUUCUGUAAGUCUAGUUCGUGGUUCACGGGUGACGUUACCUGGAUAGAUGGGCAAUUCCUAUCGGUGGAGCUAAGACACCUUCGAGAGAUAUAGCUCCAGCUCUUGAUGUGUGACAACCCGAAAUUUCCAUUUGUACGAACAAUAUCUAUUCAAUAGAAGUCAGUCCAAUUUCAGUGAUUUUCAGACUUUUUCGAACAAGUUAGUGUACAUUAGGGUUUACACUUUAGGAGAUAUCAGGAGAGUGGAUGCUCCAGGGUUUGUGAAAUUUGAACAUUUCAAGUUUCAUAAAGUUACAGCCCAAGUUCAAGAAUAAAAAUAUUUUCUGUCAAAAUAUUUCAGGACUAUAAAUAGUUUUCUGAAUUUAUUUAAUUCAUUAUUCACAAUUCCAUCUAGAGAAAAGCCAUUUUCUCUCUGACAGAUCUUCGGGUUUUUAUCCCAGAUUGUGAGUAACUCUUUCUAGUAGUGUUAGAUUACAUAUUUGAUGCUUAUAACAUGAUUUAGUGGGCUAAAUCAUGAGANUUCCUGUCCUUAAAAGAAGAUCUCUCCGGUUGCUUCCUUCUCCUUGCUAAACUAGAAAUGAUCUCUUACGACUAGCAUUGCGAUUCACGCAUCUCGCACAACCGUGCCUGAGAUAUUAGUGGUGAAUACUCUUGUAUACUAGCCGUCUCACAGGUUCUCGUUAGCAAGGAUAGAGAGACAAAAGGAUAGCUUCGAAAGUAGGUAGGCUAGGGAGAUGCUCAAACCGGGGCUGGAUCGAAUUCCUGUAAGACUUCUAUCCUUUUUCUCUUUCUUUCUUACUAGAUUCCCCUGCCCCCUAUAUUCAAUUAAAAGACUAGAAAACCUCUCUUGUGCGUCUACGUACCCGUCUUACCAAUACUGAUUAGCUUAAGACUGAAAAUCUUAGUUAGAUAGCAUCUAUUGUAUUGUCUAUCUUAAUUCGCUUAAAGCCUUACUUUCAACUCGGCCUCCCGGUCAGUAUAUCCGAGUUCUACUUAAAUAGUCUCGGUUUUCAUAUUCUUUAUCUUUGAUAUGUGCGGUCCUCAAUCGCCGGACGGCUGCCCUCCAUCCCCUUGCUUCACGUGCGUGCCCUUCUUAUCAUUUGUUGGCUAGCCCUUUGUAUUUCAUGGCAUGGCUACAUGUGCCCUUUGGAUUUGAUGGCACUUCAACCGGGGGUCUUUUUUCAUCCUUCGAUGCUAACUCUGAACUCAUGCUUCCACCUCCAGCUUAAGCACUUCUAUCGAUCAAUUCUGGUUCAAGAUUUGAAACUGACAGCCGAACCCAACGAGUGAAGUAUACGUAAGGAGUCAGAAGAAAGCAAUAAAAAAAGAAAGAUUUCACGGCGAUAUCAAUUCCGUCAUAUCUGAAAGAAAUUCCUGAAAUAAAUAAAGAAUUCUGUCACUUCAAGAAAGAAGGAAGGAAUUCCAUCAAUAAUUGCCAAAUCCUAAAUUCAGUCUUCACUGAUAGAUAGAAAGAUAAAUUCUGUAAAGCAAAGAAAAGAGAAGGCUUGAAAUCAAAUCCAUCUUAAUACGAAAUUUUGAAAUAAAAAAUCUUUCCACUUCCAGCGCACCUCCUUUCCAUGCUACUUCUUUCUUUUCCACUUCAUGACCAGGAAUUAUAGGUCGGCAUUUCUUUCAUUCCAUCAAGAAAGGCACCUCUGGACGUCUGCUUCAACUNGGGGGGAUACAAGUACAAACAAACACGUUAUUAAAUCAUUGAUAUGUAUUUUAUAACUGUGUUUGUCAUUUAACAGAUUUCACAUGCUACAAAAUGUGAUGCAUGAAAUGGUUUUACAUCCUAACAGCACAUUGUUACCAAAUGUUUUACUUUUGAAAUGGGUAUUCAAAUGACAUCAAGUCAUUGUUAUUUAUUGUUCAAAACCCAUGAACUGUUUUACAAAACCAUUUUUUUUCAUUCUUGAACUAAACUAUGCUUAUACACUUAUGUUCCGNGAGAACUGCAUGUACUAAUAGUCGGAUAGAAGCCUACCAGCCUACCUUGUUCAUAUCGAGCCGGACAGGAGAGACCCUCUUUCAAGUUAAGAGAAGCAAUUCCGCUUGAAAAUAGGCGCUGUAAAUCAAUUCAAAUAGAUAGGGGAGUUCCGAACCAGCAGCAAGCCCUUUCUAAUGUCCUAGGCGAAGGCAGUGCAGGUGAAAGCCCAAUAGAUCCCAUUUUUUUGAUCGCUCCACAUAGCUCACGACCCGGCACGAAGAAAUCUCUUAGAUGGGCGGAUGCGAAUCUGGAUCUAUCAACGGAGCAAUUCCAUUCCAGUCGUAGUCUCAAUCCCAUAUUCAAUGUGCCGUCUCCGCCGUGUCUGACCCCCUCAAUCUUUCUAUCCGGAGUGAGUCAGGCGGCUAAGCCUUUCAUCCUGAUAAAAGAAAGAGUUUUCCCACCCUCCAUAAAUGGAAUCGGUUUGAGUGAAUUACUUACCGCAGUCAAAGCCAAUAGGGAAAGUCAGGUCAAGAGAGAGUCUCUUUCCGAUUAGUGCAUCUCGCACUUCCAAUUCAUUCCGAGUUAGAAAAAGUAAGUUCCUUCCCGGGUAAAGUCCUCUUAAAUGGAUUACUAGUUCCUUCCUUCCCAAUCAAUGCUAACUCUAUCUUCCUCUCUUGUAAUUUAGGAGAUUUCCCCAGCCCAUAAAGAACUGUAGUUACAUACAGCUCUCAAAAGAUAAAAAGAGAAAGAGCUAUGACUUCAAGUAAGAAAGUGAAAGUUCAGUCCUCACCGCCAAAAAGAAGACAGCAACAAUCCGUACUACUUCUCUCAGUAAAUAACAUUCUCUUAGUUAGAGAGUAAGUAGAUAGACGGAUUAGUACUUUUACCCAGGGGUAGCCUUCCUUGUCGCCAAAGAAGAAUGAGAAUUGAUAAAGUUUUCUUGGGCUUCAAUAGCAGAAGCAAAGAAGUCAAAUCAAUGCAGCUUUCGUGCCCAGCCUAAAGAUCCUAUCCUCGCAGCAGCUGGAGCUCUUGAUGGCACGUUCAAGCGAGUUUAUGAAUGAAUGAAAUCAGUUGAAGGAGCGGCCAAGGACGAAAGCUUUGAUUGCGUUCUGCUAUGGUUGGCUUUUUUCCUUGCCUAAAACAACUAUCUUCUCUUCGCGAACGGUUAAGAAUCCUCUUUGUAUGCGCGUUCUCUCUUGUUUAUUCUUCUAGUUUUUCCUUCUUAUGCUUAUGGGUGAGACUCCCUUUCUUCUUAGGUUGUCUGUAAGUCUAGUUCGUGGUUCACGGGUGAGGUUACCUGGAUAGGUGGGCAGUUCCU